rnacentral:rRNA from 1 species
ACGGGUGCGGAACACGUACGCAACCUUCCUUCAAGCGGGGAAUAGCCCGGAGAAAUCCGGAUUAAUACCCCAUAAGAUUGUGGAUUGGCAUCAAUCAGCAAUUAAAGAUUUAUCACUUGAAGAUGGGCGUGCGGCUGAUUAGGUAGUUGGUGAGGUAACGGCUCACCAAGCCGACGAUCAGUAACUGGCGUGAGAGCGCGACCAGUCACACAGGCACUGAGACACGGGCCCGACUCCUUCGGGAGGCAGCAGUAAGGAAUAUUGGUCAAUGGACGGAAGUCUGAACCAGCCAUGCCGCGUGGAGGAUGAAGGUCCUCUGGAUUGUAAACUUCUUUUAUCUGGGAAGAAAUGAUGGUUUUCUAACUGUCUUGACGGUACCAGAUGAAUAAGCACCGGCUAACUCCGUGCCAGCAGCCGCGGUAAUACGGAGGGCGCAAGCGUUAUCCGGAUUCACUGGGUUUAAAGGGUGCGUAGGCGGAUUAGAAAGUCCGCGGUGAAAUCUCUGGGCUUAACCCGGAAAUUGCCGUGGAUACUAUUAGUCUUGAAUACUGUGGAGGUUAGCGGAAUAUGUCAUGUAGCGGUGAA